rnacentral:misc_RNA from 1 species
AUCGACUCCUCAAGGUGAUGGUCGAGGAAGGGCCGUCGGUCGCGAAAUGGAUGCUGGAGCUCGGGGUGCUGUUCGAUCGCGAUCCGGACGGCAAUCUCCAUGUCAAAAAGGGGGGUGGCAGCUCGAAGCCGCGUCUGCUGACCUGCUCAGACUAUACCGGUCUGGAAAUCAUGCGGGUGCUGAAAGAUGAGGUGCUGAACCAGAAGAUUCAGCUGCUCGAGUUCAGUGCGGCGGUUGAGCUGCUGAGCGACGACGCUGGCGCCUGUACUGGGGCGGUGCUGCAGGAUC